UACGUAGGGGGCAAGCGUUGUCCGGAUUUAUUGGGCGUAAAGAGCGUGUAGGCGGCCUGGAAGGUCAGCUGUGCAAACUCGAGGCUCAACCUCGAGACGUCGGUUGAAACCACCUGGCUAGAGUCCGGAAGAGGAGAGUGGAAUUCCCGGUGUAGCGGUGAAAUGCGCAGAUAUCGGGAAGAACACCCCGUGGCGAAGGCGGCUCUCUGGGACGUGACUGACGCUGAGACGCGAAAGCGUGGGGAGCAAACAGG
rnacentral:rRNA from 1 species